AAAUUGAAGAGUUUGAUCAUGGCUCAGAUUGAACGCUGGCGGCAGGCCUAACACAUGCAAGUCGAACGGUAACAGGAAGCAGCUUGCUGCUUCGCUGACGAGUGGCGGACGGGUGAGUAAUGUCUGGGAAACUGCCUGAUGGAGGGGGAUAACUACUGGAAACGGUAGCUAAUACCGCAUAAUGUCGCAAGACCAAAGAGGGGGACCUUCGGGCCUCUUGCCAUCGGAUGUGCCCAGAUGGGAUUAGCUUGUUGGUGGGGUAACGGCUCACC
rnacentral:rRNA from 10 species